ensembl:lncRNA
UCAGCUUUGGCCCGGGCGCGGAAUGUCUCGAACUGAUUUACAGACUUCUUUUCGAAUGUCUGUAGUUCACUUAUCAGUUUCCUCUGACUGGAAAUUUCCUUGUUUGCACAAUUAAGCUCUAUUGUCAGCUUUUGUACGUGGGGGUUAGUUCUGCAGUUCAUAUUGCGUUUUGAAGAAUCCUGUGGUGAUGUGAAAAACUCUGAUGUCUCCAGUAGGCUGUGUCCUUUAAAAGUGACAGCGUUGAAAGAUCAAAGCUAAAUUCAAGUUCUAUUUCUAGCGUAUAUAUGGCGACGGAAGGCAUGUCAUGCAGCAUCACAGAUGAUGCAUUCGUUGCCAUAGAUACGACAAGAACAACAUCACAACUUGUCCAGUUAAGAACAUGCUACAAAGCUCUUGCUGUUACCACGGAGACGGAAAACUGUGAUUCAAUCAGAUUCACGAAAGGGGACAUUUUUCUUUUGUUUGUUGUUUUAUUAUUAGUUUUAAUCAAACUUUGUAUUGAAUUCAUACAAUGUAAAGACCUUUUCUUUUUUUUACAUGGUCGUAAUCCAGAGGUAGUUGAGGCCUGAUUCAGGGAUUCGUUUUGAUAACAAGAGUCCUGGACGAAAGCAAGUCUUGGAGGGACGGUAGAUUGCAGCCGAUCACCCUCUCAGCACAGCGGAUGACAUUGCCCGAAAUGGUGGAACGAGCUCUCUGAUGACAUCAGGACCGCAGAGAGCCUUCACAUCUUUCGCCGCAAACUAAAAACACACCUCUUCAGACUCUACCUCGACUAAAAGACUAACAAGUUGUAGCACUUAAAUUGUACUAAUGCCACUUAUAUAUAGCAAAUUGUAAAUUGGCUUAUUUGAUGAAAUUACACUUUCUUGUUUCUUGCUACUCUGAGUUUGUACCCAUAUGGUUGAAGGCCACAGCGCUUCAAUCGUUUCAAAACGGAGGACAGAUCCGGUGGAGGAGGUGGAGCUCGACGUGUUUCAAAUCUGGCUGAGGAAAGAUCCACUGGAGGAGGGGGAGCUCGAUGCGAAGAUGGAACUGGGGAG